rnacentral:rRNA from 2 species
CGGGUGAGUAAUGUCUGGGAAACUGCCUGAUGGAGGGGGAUAACUACUGGAAACGGUAGCUAAUACCGCAUAACGUCGCAAGACCAAAGAGGGGGACCUUCGGGCCUCUUGCCAUCAGAUGUGCCCAGAUGGGAUUAGCUAGUAGGUGGGGUAACGGCUCACCUAGGCGACGAUCCCUAGCUGGUCUGAGAGGAUGACCAGCCACACUGGAACUGAGACACGGUCCAG